ACCGGCAGCCAUAUCACCCCAAGACUGGUUACCCACUGAAGCCAAGCAGGGCCGAGACUGGUCAGUACCUGGAUGGGAGACCUCCUGGGAAAACUAGGUUGCUGUUGGAU
rnacentral:rRNA from 1 species